CUAUGCAAGGGCGUCAAUGGCCUCGACAAGGUCGUGCUGAGAGAGGUUAAGGGGAGUUCGGCCGAGGUGUACCUAUAUGGCGGUCAAGUGACAUCUUGGAAAAACGACCAUGGGGAGGAGUUGCUUUUUGUCAGCAGUAAGUAUCCUACCAUGUAUUAGAGAUGAGCUUCAAUGUUAAUGUUCUUGUCACAUAAGUGGCCUUUUCUUCUUUUUGUAAUGGUUGACAUCAAGGGAUGGUGGGGUGGCCCUUCUCCAGUCAUUUUAUAUGUUCGUUAAUAAUAGUUGUUUUCUUUUACUUAUAAUCUUUUAUUAAUCAUGUUUUGCGUUUUCUUUGUUC